UACGUAGGGCGCAAGCGUUGUCCGGAAUUAUUGGGCGUAAAGAGCUCGUAGGCGGUUUGUCGCGUCUGUCGUGAAAGCCCACGGCUUAACCGUGGGUCUGCGGUGGAUACGGGCAGACUAGAGGCAGGUAGGGGAGAAUGGAAUUCCCGGUGUAGCGGUGAAAUGCGCAGAUAUCGGGAGGAACACCGGUGGCGAAGGCGGUUCUCUGGGCCUGUACUGACGUUGAGGAGCGAAAGCGUGGGGAGCGAACAGG
rnacentral:rRNA from 1 species